rnacentral:rRNA from 1 species
CACGUAGGGUGCGAGCGUUGUCCGGAAUUAUUGGGCGUAAAGAGCUCGUAGGCGGUGUGUCGCGUCGGCCGUGAAAACCUGCAGCUCAACUGUGGGCUUGCGGUCGAUACGGGCAUCACUGGAGUUCGGCAGGGGAGACUGGAAUUCCUGGUGUAGCGGUGAAAUGCGCAGAUAUCAGGAGGAACACCGGUGGCGAAGGCGGGUCUCUGGGCCGAUACUGACGCUGAGGAGCGAAAGCGUGGGGAGCGUACAGG